AGGUGGGAGGAUUGCUUGAGCCUGGGAGGUGGAGGUUGCAGUGAGCUGAGAUCACACCACUGCACUCCAACCUGGG
ensembl:miRNA